AUUGAACGCUGGCGGCAGGCUUAACACAUGCAAGUCGAGCGCGCGGCGGACGGGUGAGUAAUGUCUGGGAAACUGCCUGAUGGAGGGGGAUAACUACUGGAAACGGUAGCUAAUCCCGCAUACCAUCAGAUGUGCCCAGAUGGGCUUAGCUAUUAGGUGGGGUAAUGGCUCACGUAGGAGACGAUACCUCGCUGGUCUGAGAGGAUGACCAGCCACACUGGAACUGAGAGACGGUCCAGACUCCUACGGGAGGCAGCAGUGGGGAAUAUUGCACAAGGGGCGCAAGCCUGAUGCAGCCGUGCCGCGUGUGUGAAGAAGGCCUUCGGGUUGUAAAGCACUUUCAGCGAGGAGGCGUUACUCGCAGAAGAAGCACCGGCUAACUCCGUGCCAGCAGCCGCGGUAAUAC
rnacentral:rRNA from 1 species